UCUCCGUUGGUGAACCAGCGGAGGGAUCAUUACAGGACUCGCAAGACUCCUUCACCCUGUGAACCUCACUACAAGCACGUUGCUUCGGCGGGUGUCCCGGCGGGGGUUUUCCCUCGCCGGGGCGCACAGCCCGCCGGCAGCCUACUAUACUCUGUCCCUUUGCGUUGGCAUCUCGAGAAAAAACAAACAAGUUAAAACUUUCAACAACGGAUCUCUUGGUUCUG
rnacentral:misc_RNA from 1 species